rnacentral:rRNA from 1 species
UACGAAGGGUGCAAGCGUUACUCGGAAUUACUAGGCGUAAAGCGUGCGUAGGCGGUUCGUUAAGUCUGUCGUGAAAGCCCUGGGCUCAACCUGGGAAUUGCGAUGGAUACUGGCGAGCUAGAGUACGGUAGAGGAUGGUGGAAUUCCCGGUGUAGCGGUGAAAUGCGUAGAUAUCUGGAGGAACACCGGUGGCGAAGGCGGCAUCCUGGACCGGCAUUGACGCUGAGGCGCGAAAGCUAGGGGAGCAAACGGG